GAUGAACGCUGGCGGCGUGCUUAACACAUGCAAGUCGAACGGAAAGGCUCCUGCUUGCAGGGGUACUCGAGUGGCGAACGGGUGAGUAACACGUGGGUGAUCUGCCCUGCACUUCGGGAUAAGCCUGGGAAACUGGGUCUAAUACCGGAUAGGACGAUGGUUUGGAUGCCAUUGUGGGAAGUUUUUCGGUGUGGGAUGAGCUCGCGGCCUAUCAGCUUGUUGGUGGGGUAAUGGCCUACCAAGGCGUCGACGGGUAGCCGGCCUGAGAGGGUGUACGGCCACAUUGGGACUGAGAUACGGCCCAGACUCCUACGGGAGGCAGCAGUGGGGAAUAUUGCACAAUGGGCGCAAGCCUGAUGCAGCGACGCCGCGUGGGGGAUGACGGCCUUCGGGUUGUAAACUCCUUUCGCUAGGGACGAAGCGCAAGUGACGGUACCUGGAGAAGAAGCACCGGCUAACUACGUG
rnacentral:rRNA from 1 species